rnacentral:lncRNA from 12 species
GUUGAAUGACUAUAAUUGCAUUAGAAUUUUGUAUGAUGAUCAUACUUGACAAUGUGACAGACAUGUGUUCAGUAGUUUUGACAGACUUUGAAACAUCUGCAUUGAGCUAUAUUCAUGUUCCAGUUUAGCAGAUUUCCUUCUGGAACUCUUAUUUGUUGAGUCAGAGAAUAUUUUACUCUUUACUCUUUUUGGAUUAUGAUUGUGUUAAAUUGACAUGAUCUGAUCAGAAUCCCUCAAGGAUUAUAAUUUUCCAGGCUACAUUGCACAAAUAAAAGCAGUCAGGGAGGGAAACCUCUAAAUGGAGUCCCUUGGAGAGGGAGGUGCAGAGAAAAAAAAAAAACAGCUGCUUUUUUGCUUAGACCCUGAUAAACCCAAAAAGACCUUAAACAGGUGAAUAUUUGUUUCUGGUAAUUUAUGAGGAUUUUGACCUGUUGUAGAUCUUAACUGUGACAACAAAGAAUAUUUGUGUUUAACCGCUUUAAAGUCUAAACCGAGCAAGCUAAAAGCCCCCUAUUGACAUUCACGUCCAAGUACAAUAGUUGGCGUCCAUCAGUAAAAAGAGAUCCGGUCUCCAGAUGGUUUUGUUCGGAUCUGUAAGUGACACAGGACAAAUGCUGCUCUUGUUAAAGGAAUGUUGAGCCCAGCUUUUAACUUAAAGAAAAGCCAAUGCCACAGGGACCUCCUGGUGGAAUUUUUGGCAUCUUGGGAGUUGUGGUAGUGGCCGGUCUGAUUGUAGGAGUGGUGGCUACGAUAUGUAUGGUGUACAGGAGAGGACAGAAGCCCCGCACAGAAACAGACAACGAUCUUUAUCACAGAGGCCUAAAUGACACAUAACGGCUGGUCGCUGAUCGUGAAGAACGCUGCUGGCAGUUCAUGGAGUCAAUUGCUGUGAUUCAAUUCUCAAUGGAUGGGCAGUCUGUGAAAACAGAUAAAGGCACAAUGCAAUAAAGCAUAAUUUCUAUCCCUAGGGAUGAGUUUGUGAUAAUAAGUCAUUUUAUGUUGACACAUGCAGAGGUAUAUAAUCGAUGCAAUCUAUUCCCAUGAUUCUAAAUGUGUUCCUGUGUACAAUAAUAAUGUGGCACUAUUUGAUUUUUGAGAGCAGUUUGGCCCAUAAGUGGGCUGGUAUUGACUUCUGACAACCAGAGCUGAAGUGAUAUUAAAGGCUGUGCUGCAUUAAUUUAACUUCCGUGCACUAGCAGGGAGAAUGUUACAGUGACAGGGCAAUGACAGGGUUGAUUAUAAGCCAAAGACAACAAUAUGGAUCGGCU